rnacentral:sRNA from 1 species
UUAUAAGCCAAGCCGAAGACAGCAGGUGCCGAAAGGCGUAAAGAGCGAUCUGCCUGCCGAGGAUGUGGAAAAAAGCUGACGGGUGCAGUAAUGCACUCAAUCCGCAGAUCUGUAUUUUCUCCCCGUCUUCGUGAAGACGGGGUUUUUCUUC